rnacentral:rRNA from 1 species
GGUCAAGCUACAAAGGGCGCAUGGUGAAUGCCUUGGCAUCAGGAGCCGAUGAAGGACGCGAUAAGCUGCGAUAAGCUUCGGGUAGACGCACAUAGUCAGAGAUCCGAAGAUUUCCGAAUGAGGAAACUCACAUGGGAAACCCCAUGUAUCAUAAAGUGAAUACAUAGCUUUAUGAAGGUAUACCCAGGGAACUGAAACAUCUAAGUACCUGGAGGAAGAGAAAGAAAAAUCGAUUUUCUUAGUAGCGGCGAGCGAAAAGGAAAGAGCCCAAACCAGAGAUUUAUCUCUGGGGUUGCGGACAGAACAUAACGAGAAAUCAUAGUUAAUUGAACACAACUGGAAAGUUGGACCACAGUGGGUAAUAGUCCCGUAAGUGAAAACUAUGAUAAUCAGUUCUGCACCAGAGUACCACGAGACACGUGAAACCUUGUGGGAAGCAGGGAGGACCACCUCCCAAGGCUAAAUACUACCUGAUGACCGAUAGUGAAGCAGUACCGUGAGGGAAAGGUGAAAAGAACCCCGGGAGGGGAGUGAAAUAGAACCUGAAACCAUGUGCCUACAACCGAUCAGAG